rnacentral:rRNA from 1 species
GACGAACGCUGGCGGCGUGCUUAACACAUGCCAGUCGAACGGAAAGGCCCUGCUUUUGUGGGAUGCUCGAGUGGCGAAAGGGUGAGUAACACGUGAGUAACCUGCCCUUGACUUUGGGAUAACUUCAGGAAACUGGGGCUAAUACCGGAUAGGAGCUCCUGCUGCAUGGUGGGGGUUGGAAAGUUUCGGCGUUUGGGGAUGGACUCGCGGCUUAUCAUCGUGUUGGUGGGGUAGUGGCUUACCAAGGCUUUGACGGGUAGCCGGCCUGAGCGGGUGACCGGCCACAUUGGGACUGGGAGACGGCCCAGACUCAUCCGGGAGGCAGCAGUGGGGAAUAUUGCACAAUGGGCGGAAGCCUGAUGCAGCAACGCCGCGUGCGGGAUGACGGCCUUCGGGUUGUAAACCGCUUUCGCCUGUGACGAAGCGUGAGUGACGGUAAUGGGUAAAGAAGCACCGGCUAACUACGU